CACCACUUCAAAAUCACAUUCUUUCUCCCCCCACAAAUCACAACCAAGAGUAAGAGAGUGAGUAGAGGUGGCUGUGCCUUUCAAAGACCAUUUGAAGUGGGAGUUUUCCCCAAUCCACCAGCCACAAGGAAUCAGGUUGAACGUGAUCGAGGGGCGGCGGUGUUGAGCAAUGGCGGUAAUAAGUAGCAUUAGGAUACCCAAAGAAGUGUGUCUUCACACAUGCUCCUUUGUCUUGGACUCUUCCGCUGCACUAGUAGUUUUGUACUAGGAUUUCCCAGACCAGUUAUCGUACUCUGAAUUUUAUUGGCCAUGUACCACUUUCGUACAUUGAAAACUUAUGUUUGAGCUUGAUUCACUAUCUAUGCUUACUUCUUUCCA